CAAGCCGGAGGAAGGUGGGGAUGACGUCAAAUCAUCAUGCCCCUUAUGACCUGGGCUACACACGUGCUACAAUGGAUAGUACAAAGGGUCGCGAAGCCGCGAGGUGGAGCUAAUCCCAUAAAACUAUUCUCAGUUCGGAUUGUAGGCUGCAACUCGCCUACAUGAAGCCGGAAUCGCUAGUAAUCGUGGAUCAGCAUGCCACGGUGAAUACGUUCCCGGGCCUUGUACACACCGCCCGUCACACCACGAGAGUUUGUAACACCCGAAGUCGGUAGGGUAACCUUUAUGGAGCCAGCCGCCGAAGGUGGGACAGAUAAUUGGGGUGAAGUCGUAACAAGGUAGCCGUAUCGGAAGGUGCGGCUGGAUCACCUCCUUU
rnacentral:rRNA from 1 species